rnacentral:tRNA from 1 species
GCCGCUUUAGCUCAGUUGGCAGAGCAACUGAUUUGUAAUCAGUAGGUCGUCCGUUCGAAUCGGACAAGCGGCA